rnacentral:tRNA from 1 species
GGGCAAUUAGCUCAGCUGGAUAGAGCGUUGGCCUCCGGAGCCAAAGGCCAGGUGUUCGAAUCACCUAUUGCCCACCA